GACGAAGGGGGCAAGCGUUGUUCGGAAUUACUGGGCGUAAAGGGCGCGUAGGCGGUUCUUUAAGUCAGGCGUGAAAGCCCUGGGCUCAACCUGGGAGUGGCGCUUGAUACUGGAGGACUAUAGAGUGGGAGAGGUUGGUGGAAUUCCCAGUGUAGAGGUGAAAUUCGUAGAUAUUGGGAAGAACACCGGUGGCGAAGGCGGCCAACUGGACCAUUUCUGACGCUGAGGCGCGAAAGCGUGGGGAGCAAACAGG
rnacentral:rRNA from 1 species